rnacentral:lncRNA from 1 species
UUUCUUUGAAGUUUUGCAUAAAUCUUGUAAAUUUUCCCCCUAGAGUGCUGGGAGUGAACAUUCUGGGUUUCAUCCUGGGUCUCUUGGAUGAAGGCCAGAUGAUUAUUUGUCCUAAUGUUAUGAAUCAGUGACAAGAAAAGCUUGUCGUGGAAGCGCCAACGUGCCUUGAGAGACAUGAGCACUACAGGUGGCUGCGAGCAGUGCUGGCAGGGCCCCCGGAGCCCCGCACCUGGCCCUGGGCGGGCUGGUGCGCUGUUCCCCAAAGGGCAGGCUCCACACGCGGUCUGUAGCACAGGAGUUCAGGAGGAAAACCAGAGGAAGUUUGGAUUUUCCCCUUUGGUCCAGGAGGAAAAUGCUCUUUGGGAAACGGAUGUGGACAUGUGAAGUCCCCCAGCUGCGAGCUCGGCGAAGCCAAGGCUGAAGGCACGUCGGAGCCCCAGCCUGCCCCUCACUGUUCCGAGGGCCCGGCAGCAGAGAGGACAGCAGCGGAAUUACAGGCGGGCUGCACCUGAAACAGGCUGCGGCCCCACCUGAAUUUCAGGUGCCCCGGGGAGGCCUUUCAACCACCUGGAAUUGAGGCUGUUUCAAGAUGUCAGGGAAGAGUUUUCCCGAUUGGAAAGAACAGCCUCGGGAGGAGGACAGCUGGACUCUGAUCAAUAGUCAUAGGACAAGUCACUGAACCUCCUUGUGAGUGGUCUGAAAAAUGGGAGAAGAACACAUUUUCUGCCUAAUAAAGGCUGUUGUGAGGCUCAGGUUUGGUCCUGUACAUGCAGGUCCUCUGAACACCACUGUAGGGGGACAGUGGCAACAAACACGUAACAAUUUCAAG